CAAUAUCCAACUAGGCCACAUCUAACUCAAACGUUAACAUUGACUCUUCUCCUUGGAGUUUUGUACAAUAUGAGUGAACUCCCAUGAACCUCAUCCCUUAACAUAGUCUUACUCUUAGCAUAACCAUUUCAAUAAUCUAUUUAUCUUGAUAACAAUAGAACACUUACCAUCGUGGCCUAGCAUCAAGAAAUGACCUUCUUCCAUUCUUACACUAAGCCACAACUUAUUUGGAGCUAUAUCUUCCAUUUUGUCACUUUCUAGUCCACCAAAACAAAUACUUGCAGGGCCAAAACCCCCUAGAGUGCAAGCACCAUUCUAUCACUUUACUGGGCUAACCAAAACAAAUUUUCAUUGGGCCAAAACCCCUCUAUCACAUUUCUGGCCCAAUCGAACUCAAGUCUAGUUGGG
rnacentral:lncRNA from 1 species